rnacentral:rRNA from 1 species
CAUCAUUCAGUUGGGCACUCUAGCAAGACUGCCGGUGACAAACCGGAGGAAGGUGGGGAUGACGUCAAAUCAUCAUGCCCCUUAUGACCUGGGCUACACACGUGCUACAAUGGGAAGUACAACGAGUCGCGAAGUCGCGAGGCUAAGCUAAUCUCUUAAAGCUUCUCUCAGUUCGGAUUGCAGGCUGCAACUCGCCUGCAUGAAGCCGGAAUCGCUAGUAAUCGCGGAUCAGCACGCCGCGGUGAAUACGUUCCCGGGCCUUGUACACACCGCCCGUCACACCACGAGAGUUUGUAACACCCGAAGUCGGUGAGGUAACCUUUUUGGAGCCAGUCGCCUAAGGUGGGAUAGAUGAUUGGGGUGAAGUCGUAACAAGGUAGCCGUAUCGGAAGGUGCGGCUGGAUCACCUCCUUU